AGCUGUUUAUUCGGAAUUACUGGCUGUAAAGCGCGCGUAGGUGGUUUGUAAAGUGGGAUGAGAAAUCCCCGGGCUCCACCGGGAAGCUGCAUUCAAAACUGACGAGCUAGAGUAUGGUAGAGGGUGGUGGAAUUUCCUGUGUCGCGUGAAAUGCGUAGAUAUAGGAAGGAACACCAGUGGCGAAGGCGACCACGUGGACUGAUACUGACAGUGAGGUGCGAAAGCGUGGGGAGCAA
rnacentral:rRNA from 1 species